GAUGUUUUCCGAUUUUGUCGUGAUACUGGUGUUGACCAUCUGUUGGACACCGAAGGCGCGGGAUAAGCUCCCACUUCCGUAGUUUUACCAGCUUCACCCGCAUUGCCCUGCCUUAAUGAGCAUGUCACGAGCAACGGCGGGCCCGUGAGUACCUCGGUCAUCGAAGCAUUCACGAUACACCCUUGACAACUCCAUUGGCGGGCUCGCUGAACUUGUGGCCGGGCGUCCCCAAUCUCGCAACAAACAAAAGUCAGCGCCAUGGUUCAAACCGCGAAUUCGACAGCUGGUAGGGCUGGUAGGUGUUGUGCGCCAAGCUGGACAACAUACCCCGACAUCGCAUGCCAGUUGUCGUACGACGCAAGCGAAUCCGCCGGACGGCCUGCAGCUGAUGCUGGGCUACGUCGAGUCGUCGGGUCCCCACGGCAAGCCGAGCUUCGUGUGCAACGCCUGCAGCUACCAGACUGAGCGCAAGGCACACAUCAUGCGCCACCUGAGGGGCCACGCGGGCGAGCGCCCCUACAGCUGCCAGCACUGCGUGAGCGCCUUCGUGCACAAGCACCACCUGGACCGGCACACGAGGCAGCUGCACGGCAGCGCGGUCAAGGCCCGCAAGGGCAAGCGCUGAGGCCUGCGUCCUUCUUGCACGGCGACGCGCUCGAGGUCUGCCUUUGUCAGAACGCGAAGUGGAAGCUGCGCUCGGAGUGUAGCGUGGCCACGACGUGCUCCAGUGAAGGCCGGCUUCUGCGUUUGCGUUUGAGUAUGCUUCGAGCGCGUUGUGUCAACAUCAUCUGGAAUCGAUGCCUGUGCGCUCGAAUUUCGACCCCAUCGCAGGGAGAUUGAGCAGGGACCCGAUUUGGACGUGAGUACUGCGUCGGCAUUUGGAUAGCGACAGCGUCCACUUGGUGUGUCGAAGGAUGCGCGGCAUCGGGCUUGGACACAUAGAACCCUUCAACUAUUGCGCCCUCUUACGGUUGAUCUGAAGAUGCUGCAAAGUGGCAUAAUGGGGAGUCUAUAACUCGUAAAUAGUAACUUUCAAGAGUCUGUAAACAAUCGGUAGACUUGCCCUUUUUCACGGCGUCUUCUGCGCACGCCACUUUGCAAUAUCUUCUGAUCGACCGCAAGAGGGCGUAAUCUAUGAAGGAGUCUCUCGUCGAGUUGGCGCCAUCAAUGUUACUGGAACGAUUCAGUUGGGAAACUGCUACAGGAGCCUGCUUUGAAAAAGUGGCUCUGAUCAGCACUCGAGAACCUAACUCGACGCGAUCGCAACGCCGCCGUUUCUCCCGCAGCGGCCACUUUGGUAACUUCAUGGCUGCGUGUGCCGGUCCAGUUGAGUCGCGCAAGGGCCGGUGGUGCCACCCACAGCGGCAUCUCACAGUGGCUAUGCAAAGCAACUUUCACGUUUUGACUCUCCUCUAAAUGGCAGUGCCGUAAUCGUAUCUAUAAUCAGUGACAGGUCAAGAACGAAGGGGAAGCUCCUCCCACCUUUUUCCACUUUAGUAGAGCGAACGCUGGAGAGGAGGCGACCCCCUCUAAACCGUUUGCUCCGCUGAAGUGGAAAGGGGUGAGAGAAGCCUCCACUUCAUUCUUAACCUGUCACUGAGUGUAGUUUGGUCUCAGUGGCCGCGAGCAGUCCGGGUUUCAAGGGCGAGUUUCCCAACGGAGUCUGCAAUGUUCGCUUAUCUCCCACCAAGGCUAGCAACGCCAUUACUGCCGAGGUCACCAUCGAGAAUAGCCCUGCAGUUACUAGCUGUCUGCCAACUUUCAUUGUUGUAAAAAAAAAAAAGAAAUCAAGUUAUGUUAAAAGUAUGGGUAUAGGUUAACUUUCGAGGGUGGGGCAUCUCUCCGGAUAUUACCGUAGGUGGGGUCGGUGGUCUUUUUUCGUAACCGCUUAUAACGCGGGCACGCUGGCCCCACCUGUCUGGGAGCCCGGAACGCUACCGACCCUUGGACAACAAGAAGGUAUUGCAGUAUUUGUGAGAACAAAUCUAUGCAUUAUCUACGAGAAAUUGUCACUUGUAAGUUAUAACGCCAAAAUUAUUUUGAGGCCACGGUGAAAAAAUGAUGCAUAAGAAAGCAACGAUAUAUACGUAGGUCGGGAGUGUUCUAGGGCUACUUCGACAGAUGGCGUGAGUGUGCCUGUCUGUUAAGCGGCUGCGAGAGAAUGUAAUGCACUCGAGCAGACUCGGACAAAGAUCUGUGAACCGGCCUUAAAGAUGUAUGAUGCUUCGUGGCAGCCGCGGCAUAAGCAAACUGGCCGGCGAAGUCGGUCUAUUGCAGUCUCUACGGCAACACAUGGGCCAUCGUCAGGUGUGCUAACUUCUCAUUGUUCCUUCAUUUUGUGAAAAUAUAAACUGAGGAAAUCAACUUUUUGAAAACGGUUUCUCGCGUACAUGGAACAGCAAAUUGUCACACUAUUUUAAGGAUCUCCCACUACGUAUGUCGUGUUACAGAUAGUCGAGACUCCUCGAGGGGGAAAAACCGAUUAAUGAAAUUUGCUUAAUCGACAGUGAAACAAAGUAGUCGCCAUGUGCGUAGUCACGUUUUUAUGCCAGCAUGUGCAGAUUGUUCCGAGCGUGUGAGACACCGGCGUAGCCUUCCACCUUGCUCUCCUCAGAAGUUGUCCAUGAACAGAGUCCCACGACACUGCCGCAUUCCAUGGUGCUCAAUGGGACUGGAUCCCCGUCAGAACGUGAAAGUGACAAUUGGGUGUGUGCGUAUCAGCAAGCUUCUGCAUUCCAAGCGACAAGCGUCGGGUGUGCGGUGGAUUCAUGCCGGGCGCGCUUUGGAAGAUGCAUCCGAAGAUGCGUUUACGGACACUCAACACUACUCUUAAUACAAUCGUCACCUUUCCUUA